AGAAUAGUGAAUAAAGAAAUACUCCUAAUUAGUGUGGUGGAGAUGGUCAGGGCAUCUCUUUCUCUCUCUUUCUUCCACAAAGCUUGAAAUACACAUAGCAGUGGGAUAUGUUUGGCAUGCCCUCAUCAUUCACAUCAAAACCCUAAUUACCAACAAACAAUUGCUUUGAUUUCUGUGACUACUAAUUUAACACAAAUUCUUCUGCUCUCUCUCUCUCUCUCUCUCUCCAAACACACACUUUGAGUAUAUAUAUAUAUAUAUACGGCGGCAGUAUAUGCCAAAAGGCUAACAACAUUGUGUGCUACCACAAAAGAGGAUCAACUUGUUCAAGCUGGACCAAAUCAGAUCACACACAGAGACACAAAUAUCUGAUUUUCCAAGUUCAUCACACUCUUCCUGGUGGGGCGUAUAUAUUCACAACAAGAAUAUACUAUUAAUCAAACCAACACAGAAUAUUUCUAAGGUUCCAAGAAUCAGAUUUUAUGAAUCAGUUCGACAAGGAAUACAUGAAAAUGGCCAUGCUCAAGCACGAGGAAACAUUUCGAGAGCAGGUUUUUGAGCUCCAUCGCCUGCAUCGAAUACAGAAAAUGCUGAUGAAAGACAUGGAAAAAAACGCACGAAUGGAUAGGAGUAGCACCACCACUAGUACGUGUAACGGGCCGGAGCCAAGGCCCGAACAGGCCGGGGAAUCGGUUGGAAAAUGUGGAGUUCCGGAGACCGGAUAUGAUGAUCAGACCAAUCUUGAGCUGACUUUGGGCCCGAGAAGUUUCUAUGAGAAGAAAGUGUCCGGGCCGACAACGGGAUCGAGAAGCCCGUCAUUAAAAUGGGGGCCCGAGACUCCAGUUUCGAAUAGCCCGCCUUGGCUAUUCCAUGCCCUCAGCCUAAAUAUGACAUGAUCAUAAUUUUCAUCUUAAUUAUCAUAAGUAGGAGUAAUUUGUUACUAUUAUUACAUGUACUGAUGAUUCUCAUGUCAAUGUUGAUUGUAAUUGGAUUUCAAUUUUAAGAAAUCUUAUUUAGUUCUCA